CAGUGUAGACUCGUACAGGCAUUAUGUGUAGCAUUAUAGCAGCAGUGUGCAUCCAACAUGGCAGCCCAAUAAACGAAGCAGGUAUUAAUGCACUCAGAGGGGGUCCGAGUGGUCCUCCCCGUUGCCUUUUCUUGGUCCUCAACCAUCGGGAACCUCGAGGAGAGUGCACUCCGGGCACUCACACUCCUAUUCGUUCGUCCAUUAGCGCGCGUCGUGGAAUGCAAUGCCUUUGGCGUCGGGAGGAGGGAAGGCGCGAGACUUCUGCUGCACAACCACCAUCGUCGCCACGAGCACGAUCACCACCAUCGGAGGAAUCACCUACGACAGGACGAAAAUUAUCUGUCUGACAAGAGGAGAACUGCUUCCAGGAAAAGUGCCUUGUUCCUUCGUUUCUUCGUGCACGCAUUAGCAUCGGCUCUUCUUUAUUGGCUGAUCAAGGAUCGCUGCGAUCCGAGCCCUCGGCCACUGGAUUGUCCACUUUAAUUAAGAUCCAUUCUUUUUACAAUGGAAUUAAUCAAGGCUUUGUCAAUGGCAUUUUAGGUUAACUCACGCUGGACGCUGCUUUGUAUGGGAAGUUUAAUGGUUAUUUUUAUUCCGUUGGUACUUCAGGAACGUAUACUUACCCGUGGUAGGUACACACAUUAAUUAAAUCUGAUCAAUCAGCCGAAAGCGCUAUAAUGCCUUCAUUAUCUUGGUAGACGUUCGGAUAAAAUAUGGUUGGUGCAACUCGACGGUAAGUAACGGUAGAGAUAGGCGUGGCGCCGAUCAGAGAAUUGGAGGGUGCAGCUUGACGAAGGGUGCCCACCCUAACAUUUGCUGUCUUUAGUUUUCUCUGCUCUCUUUGCUCACCUCACUGGCUCUCCCACUGCUGCUGUAUCUUGAAAAGUGACGUACCGAUAUUAUAACCCUCGAGAAUUUCGUUGUUCUAUCGUAUUAAAUGUACACCCCUGAAUAAAGAUAAUAAUAACCCGCACAAGCAACCUCACCGGAAAGUGCAAAGUCCCUAGGGUGAAUUUUCUGCACCCCUAAUGGAUAGAGUGUUUAAUAGUGUACCUACCUGUAAGAAAUGGACAAGCCUUAAAUAUCCAGAUUGAAGAGAAAUAUGAAACUUUUUAUAUCCAAGGACUUUGUUUCUAAGAAAAAGGAUUUUAGCAAGAAUCCUUACUGCGAUAUAUAGUCGGCGGCGGUCUCUUCCCGGAAACCGGAGCGGUACGCGGGUACACAGGACACAGAAGAUGCGAGGGUCCAAGUGGGCGAGGGAUGCUGGAUGCCAAGGAAAAAAAGGAGGACGGUAAACGUGCGAAUAAAGCAAAGCCAGGAACGAAAGAAGCAUGAGCCAAGGGAGCCAGAGGAACCAAGAGCUGCGAUUCUUGUGGCUUAAGGCAGAAACCAAAAGAAUCGCGCUGGAAAGGUUGGCGAAGGUGGCCGAUAGGUCCAUGGUGGAGAUGCAAGGGGAUUCUGUAAGGUGCGGCCGAGUGGGCUCCAAUGGGGCAACUUAACUUACUCCGAGCUCAGCAUGAAAUAUCGCGAACACAGCGAGAGACUGGUCUAAGCGAUGUUCCGCGCAAGAUCGUCGAUCUAAUUUGUUGCGCUUUGAGCUUAUUUAUUGCGACAAACUGAAACAAUCAUUACAUGAAAAUUACCAACUACCUCUUGAUUAUAAGCAGCAUGGCAGCCAUAGGCAUACGAAGAAUCCAGCUCGCCGACGGAAUGGCCGAUUAUGAAGUCUGGUUGAAUCCUCAGAGAACUUAAUACGUCGGCAAACUUCAUCUGGAUUGGUAAUCGCUGUCAACAUCAACACGACAAAGAACCGGAAAGCCAUGCGUAAUUCAAGAAGAAAAAGGAUAAAUAAAAGAAUCGAAGAACCAACAGCGCCGAAACAAAUCCUCGGAUUAUUAAUCUCUUAGUAGCUAAGUGCAACGGUAGCAGGGAGCAGUUAAUCUUUGAGUUCUCAAGUAAAAUCUUCGAUCGCGAGUAGCGCAGAUAAUGAUGGCGGAGGAUGACUGUGAAGACUCAGAUCUGUAUAUGGAAGAUGUAGGAAUUGAAAAGGAUUAGAAGAAUUGUCUCUGUCUAGAGAUCCUAGAAAAGUGAAGAGAGAGAAAGGAAAAA